UGGGGAAUAUUGGACAAUGGGCGAAAGCCUGAUCCAGCCAUGCCGCGUGUGUGAAGAAGGUCUUCGGAUUGUAAAGCACUUUAAGUUGGGAGGAAGGGCAUUAACCUAAUACGUUAGUGUUUUGACGUUACCGACAGAAUAAGCACCGGCUAACUCUGUGCCAGCAGCCGCGGAAAUACAGAGGGUGAAAGCGUUAAUCGGAAUUACUGGGCGUAAAGCGCGCGUAGGUGGUUUGUUAAGUUGGAUGUGAAAUCCCCGGGCUCAACCUGGGAACUGCAUUCAAAACUGACUGACUAGAGUAUGGUAGAGGGUGGUGGAAUUUCCUGUGUAGCGGUGAAAUGCGUAGAUAUAGGAAGGAACACCAGUGGCGAAGGCGACCACCUGGACUAAUACUGACACUGAGGUGCGAAAGCGUGGGGAGCAAACA
rnacentral:rRNA from 1 species